AUUGUAACUAGCUAUUAUAUUAAUAUAUCAAAAAGAUUAAAGGUCAACAUAUUUCUUGGAAACAAAUUGGUGCAAUCUUCUAAAAACAUAACCUAUGACAACUAAGAAAUUUUUAUCUCUUCUCUUGCCUUUACUGGUGCUUAGUAUCACCUUCCAGCCCAUAAUUUCAGGAAAACCAACAAAAAUGCGAGUUUUCCUCGGUUUAUGUAACAACACAGCUCAAUGCAAUAAAUCAUGCAUAUCAAAGGGUUACGAAAAAGGAAUUUGUUUCCUGUACCUCCACACUUGUUUUUGCUACCCCAAAUCCGAAUCUCAUGAUGAUCCUUCCAUGUCUUACCCUCCUAAUUAAUAAUUAACUCUUUCUAUAUGUACUAAUCAGUUCUAUGAAUAAAAAUCAUAUUUUUACAAUGACAUA